rnacentral:piRNA from 1 species
UGCUACAAGAAGCUUGGAUCUGAGGUGU